rnacentral:lncRNA from 1 species
CUUCCUCGUUNGCNNGAAUUAAAAUAAUAAGACUUGAAAAAUAAAAAUUAAUAAAUUGGAUUUGAGGAUAAAAAAUAUUAACAUGCAAAAAUAAAGUUGACUCAAUUGACAAACGAAAACAGUGGAUGGAUGGAUGUUGUUGGGUACUAACAAUAUCAUCCAUUCCACUCUCUCUUACAUACUACCCUUGACUAUUAGUUGAUUGAUUCAAUUGUUAUGCGACUUUCUUAGCCUCCCCUUAACCCGAUCCCUCGGCGAAAAGGGCCUAAUAUUAACAACCGGCUUGCUAUCCGUAGCCUCCCCUAGUAAUUAAUACCGCAUUAUAAACAGAAGUUAGCGCAAUUGAUCGUCCU